rnacentral:rRNA from 1 species
AUGACUCACAAGCAAUGUAAUAAUCCAUGGACACAGUGGCCGGGAGCAUACUGCGCGCAGACCACCCGCGGGUGCUGCAUGCCCAGGAGCCCCGUGGUGCCGGCGACCGACUUCUACGUAUCGGGCUUUACCGUCUUCAACGCGACGACCGACGCCCCGGAGACCAGCUGCAGCGGCACUCCUUUCAACUCCGGCGAGAUUCUGGAAAUCAGCGGUCUGAGGCAGUUCUGGAGCAACAUCAAGUGCCCCAGCAACAACGGCCAGAGCAGCUGGAAGAGCGCCUGGAAGACGUCCGGCGUCUGCUCCGGCCUCGACGACAAGGCCUACUUCCAAGCCGCCAUCGCCCUCCGUAGCAAGAUCAACCCCCUCUCUCGCCUCGUUUCCAAAGGAAAUCAUCACCAUUGA